rnacentral:rRNA from 1 species
GACAGAGGUGGCAAGCGUUGUCCGGAUUUACUGGGCGUAAAGGGUGCGUAGGCGGUUGUUUAAGUCUGUCGUGAAAUCCCCGGGCUCAACCUGGGAAUGGCGAUGGAUACUGGGCAGCUAGAGUGUGUCAGAGGAUGGUGGAAUUCCCGGUGUAGCGGUGAAAUGCGUAGAGAUCGGGAGGAACAUCAGUGGCGAAGGCGGCCAUCUGGGACAACACUGACGCUGAAGCACGAAAGCGUGGGGAGCAAACAGG